ACAAUUCAUCGACAGAAAAUCGUCCUAAAAAAUCUACGACGGUUAACCUACGAAAAUAACCUACGCCCCGACCGCCGCCCGCGGGUCGCCCGCUCCCUCGCGCCCCCGUUGCUCCAUCCUCGAUCCCGAUCUGGAUCGAGGGGAUGAGGAGCUCCUGCCUCCCCGACGGCCGGCCUCCUCCUCGCCUCGCCGCUGUGUCCGGCGCCGCCAUGGCCUCUGGAGCCAGGGAAGCUCGUCCUCGAGGUCCCCGCCACCGUCUCCUGCAACGUCUGCCCUGCCGCCUCACCAGAUCCUUCGCCCUCGCAGCCGCCGCCGAUCCCCUCCCUCAAACGCCGCCGCCCGUCGCUGCAGCCCCCGCCACCUCCCGUCGCAAGCUUCUGUGCUGCCACACGAUCACAUCUGUCCUCCCUUGCGCUCCGAUCCGCACGAGAUCACCGAUUCUGCCUCCUGAUGCCACGCCGCUCCCCAGCGACGAGGCUGCUCCCAUUGUUCCCAUCGACGCUUCAUGAUCCACGGCCUCCCCCAUCCUCUUCUCCAUACAACACCGAUGUCGCCGUCCCGUAUUCCCCACCGCUGUCUUGCCAACUGUAGCACGCCGGAUCCUCUUCUUCAGAAGCUGCCGCCUCACGUGCAAUGCCACCACCCAUGGCCCUCCACGGACACCACCAUCACGGGCGUAACUUGGACAACAGACCCCAUGACGGCAGAAGGAAGAGCAAGUGGGGGGUAUCGAGACUGGCCACCAUCGUGAGGAUACCGGCGUCCGUGUGCGUGGUGAUGGCAUGGUGACGCAAGAAGGUCGUGUUCCUGGUGUGCCGCGUGCUCCGUCUCCAUCCACGUCCGCGACCGCAAGACAGGGAGAUGCAUCUGGAAGGAGGCACUGGGGCAACAUCAAGAAGUUCUGUUAAACUGAUUCAUAGCAGCAUCUCAAAGUUCAAUCAGAAGAAGCGCGACAUUGUGGUUUCUAUAGGGUGGGAGGUAUCCUCCAUAUCCCUGAGCCGAACAAGCUAAAUCUAAAGCCGGAUGUGUUCUUGCUUACACAUGUGGACAUAGAUAUAGGAGGGCAAUUGUAAUUGAUGAUGAUAGAACUUGCCCGUUUGAUGCCACGGACGUUGGGAAGGUAUUCGAUCAGGAUCCCUUGGACAGGCGCUCGUGUUGCUAACAAGAAGAAUGACUGCAUUCAGUCAGCAGCCAAGGAGAUCAGAUGAUGUUUAGGGAUUAUAGGGUCAAAAGAAGGAAGAAGUUUGAAAGCAGCUCAAGCAUUACUGGAAAAGAAUUAUAACUCACCGAUGACAGAGAAGGAGGUGCAUGCUUCCAAGGCAACACUUAUUAUUUUCCUUGUGGGAUACAUGAUGGCACCGAUGGCAAAAUAUGAUUAUUCAAGCCUAACAUACUGGCCAAUGCUUAUGGGUCCUGACAAUAUUCAUAAUUACAAGUGGGGUUAAUAUGUCAUGGAAGGCAUACUAGAGGCAGAUGACAAGCUAAAGUGUGAUGUCACAAGGAAGAAAUCCGUGACCAACAUAACCGGGUGUUCUAUUCCUUCAGGUGUUUUAUCUUCAUAGCCUUAACCUGGGUGAAAUAACAAUGCAGCAUGGAAUUCUUUUGAGAAUCAAGGUGUUCAACAACUAGAUUAUGAGGAUCAUGAUCAUUGGUGAUUGCAGCCGAUCUAUCAGCAAUAGAUCAAAAGUUGAUUUUCGGAGCAUCCAUGGUGUACUGAGUGCAGAGUAUAUGAAUUGCCUUUUGCUUGUUGUCUACUAACAUUCAAUUAUAAUCCAAUAGCCAAGAGACACGAAUAGCAGUGUGUGUUCACACAGGGCUGCAAUGCGUGAUGGUGUUGGCCAUUCAGGGCCUGAACCAAAGGACUUCAUACUAAAGCAGUUCCCUCGAUCGUGCAAGAAUGUAAUAAUUCAUUACUAAGGAUCAAGUUAUAGUUAUUGAAAAGUCGUGACUCGCUACUGCUGGGAGAUGCGCCUCCACACAUUCUAGGGGAAAGAGAUUUGGGCAUGACAAGAUGAAGCAGUUCAGGUCCAUGAUUUCUAUUAAACUUUUGCAAGGAACUCGAAUAAUAUGUUCUUAUGGUAAUACAAAAAUAUUAAUAUGUUAUUACAAUGUAUUUUCCAGCAGUCUCAUUGUUCAUUUAUGGAGUAAUACUAAUUGCUGUCAUUUUAUUUUUCAGGAUACCUCUAAUUAUUCUUAAUGUGAUACGUUUCAUUGCAGGGUGAUACGUAUGGAGGAAAAGAACCAGAGCAGCGCUAGCUUGGAUAAAAGUUUCAGUGACAGAAUUUGUUUGGCAUAUGUGGAAAUCUUGGUAAAGGCAAAUCUCAACACACCUGAGCAAUGAGCACAUGUUACCAACCACAACCCACACAGGAUAAAGGCGCAUGCGGCGGCGAGUUUAAUAGGGGCAUAAGAAACGAGAAUGGCGGGUGCGGUGACGGUCAUUCAUGUGUUGGACAAAAUAAUACACCCCAUCUGUGUCAUGAGGCUGGACUUGACAUAGACAUCAGCAAACAUGGAGCAUGGUGUUGAGGUGGGAGUCGGACGCAUGGAUGUACUUGACAAGGAGCAAGUAGACGUGAGCAUGCAUAGUGGGCAAUGCUCCCGAUGGUCAGGCGGAUGAGAAGACCGAAGAGGAAAGCCGCAUGUGCAUAUUUGUGGCGGAAUGGGGCUAGCUUGAGGCAAUUAGAGAGGAGGGAAAGCAGAGGGAGUGCAGUGCCAAGGAAAUGCAGCAGGAAAGGUUGGAAAUAGCGUCGCUCGAGCGGGGAAGGGAAGGAGAGACGACCCGUGCGCAGGGGCGACACUACUGCUAUGCUACGGUUCAUGUUGGUGCCGCUGUUACUACAUUGAGAGAGACUGUCGCACCCGUUUGAUGUCUGAGCAUGCUCGGAAGUAUGAGUGAGAAAUAAGCUUCGGCCUUGGACAUGACCUUAAUCCAGGUCGCCGUCGGGACACCGUUGCCGAGGGCUGCGUGUCCGACACCCUUGAGACGCUCUUUCUUUCCGAGGCCACUACGGGGAGGCCUGUGCGCUUGCGCGUGCUCAUGUACGACCGGCAACUCCCGUGGGCGGGCUGCAUGGCGCGCGCCGCCGGCGUGCUGACGGCCACGCUCUUCUCGCAGCUCUGCUCGGUGGGCGUCAUCUACAGGAAGGUCUAUGCCGGCCGCUUCGACCCGUCGGUCAUGGAAGGGGGCGCGCUGCGGGGCCUGCUGAGUGGUGGAAGUGUCAUCAUUUGUGGCAGCACCGGAGUCAUACCGGUUGUUGCUGGAUGUAGUGGUGGGCCCGUUUGAAGGGUUUGUGGACGCCGCCGACGUCAUAGCAACUCGUUCCAUGAGCUUGAUAUCAAGAAAGUCGAUCUGUUGGGGGCACACAUGGGAACAAUGUGAUAGCUGAAUUAAUUCAAGAUCAUGUAUGUAGGUCUUCUAUAUGUUAUAUGAAAUUUCAUAACCCAUUUUUUCCCUUCAGGCAUCAACACGCGAACAGAGCUAUGAAUUAUUUUGUAUUCAGAUGACAUAAUGAGUGUUGAAUCUCAUAUACUUUGUUAUAAAGAGAUGAAAAUUGGUGCUCUUCUGACCUCUGCUGGAAUCAAUAUUGGUCUUUGUAUACUUUUUCUGUUAUUCUAUUCCAUUUUGAGGAAGAACCCACAAAAUGUUAAGGUCUAUUUUGGGAGAAGGAUUGCUGAACAACAUAAGAGGCUCCGAGGAGCUUUUAUUUUGGAGAUAUUUGUUUCAUCCCACAUAGGAGCAGCUGCUGGAAUAGAAAUAAAUUGCUUCUAUACAUGUAAGGCAUCGUGGGUACUCUUCUUACAGGAAACAUACCUACUUGGUCGCAUACUCGAGUGCAUUUUCUUGGUGGUGUGCUUCUCUUUUUUCUUGUAGUGCUCCAGAAGGUUCAUCAAAGUAGUCCUUUCGUUUGAUGCAUUAGCCUUUUUUUUGGGAUAUGCUAACUUGAUUUUGAUUUCUACAGGUGUAGCUAAGCUAGCACAAAGAAGGGGUGUCCCUAACAUGUUGUUGAUUCCAUUUCUUCUACUAUAUUAUAUGAAUAGUCAGUCUAAUUGCUGAUUCAGAAGUCUUCUAGGGAACAAGAUGCCCAACUCGUUAUCAUGUUGUGUGGGUUAAAACAAAUUUACAACUGAUGGUGGUUAUAAAGCUUGGCCGAAAUUUGUUUGUAAGUGAUGCUCUUCAGGUAACUUUCAAUAGUUGUAAUCCCCUUAAUUUCCAACUAAUUGAAUUGUUACUUAUAUGCAAUAUGAGGUGAAUUAUUCUGGAUCCAUAUAUGUAUUUAUCCCUAAUGAUUGGGCAUCUCUAAUGUAUGCCGGGUACAUUCCCUACAAGAUUGCAUAGCACCUUCGUAACAUUGAGCUAACGAUGCCUCAAGAUGCAUCCCAUGACACCGUAAGAGACACUAGAGGACUGUCAGGGGGAGAGCGAUCUUUUUCGACACUUUGCUUCGCUUUAGCACUUCAUGGGAUGAUAGAAGCACCUUUUAGGGCCAUGGAUGAGUUUGAUGUAUUCAUGGACGCGGUGAGCUGUAAAAUAAGCUUGGACACCCUUGUAGAUUUUGCUGUUGCACAAGGCUCACAAUGGAUAUUUAUAACACCGCAUGAUAUCAGCAUCGUGAAGCCUGGAGAUCACAAAUGGAAAAUCGCCUGUCUGUUACUGUGCUCAGUAGUGUAUAUAUCUCCUUAGCCUUAGCAUCCACGUUUGACAGAACCUGUCGGGAACUGCUCGCCUUGUAUUUAAGUUGUGCAUAGCUUGUUUCCAAAUGUGAACUCAACCAACACCACACGGGCUCAGUGCCCAUACAGCAAGGUAAGGUAUAGAUAGUUUCAUGUUUCUUCAAGGUACAUUAUUUUAUACUCCAUCCUGAGUUAUUUCUAGACGUACUUACGGCAGUUAGUGAUGUUUCCUCACCAUCAGUGACUGUGGCGUGCUCAUUGUAUUAUGGGAGCUUAGAGUCGUUAACAUUAAUUAUUUACAUUAUGGAUAUCAUCUUGAUGAUAAUUGUCAAUACAUACUCUGACCAGUUUGCAAUGUCAAAAUGUUGUAGUUAUAUAUAUUUUAUCCAUAAACUUUUAGUUUCAUGUUUUAGAGUUUUCGUUCUCAAAUUUGUAUGAAUUGGAUUCCAAUGCUCAAAACCUCAGUUUCAUAAGAAACAAUUCAUCAGCUAACAUACUUUUUUUUAAUGUACAGGAUGUUGAUUUCAUCAUAUUUAAAAAGAAGGAAAUGAAUAGGGUGAAGAAAUCUCAUCAUAUAAUCUCCUCUCCAAUUCACACUCAUAUAAGAGAUAAUUAUUCCCUAUGAAGCAAACAAGCGGAGUGAGAGGAUGACGAGGCGUAAAUGGAGGCGGGGUCGGUCCGUCGUUGUGGCAGUCCAGGAGCACCACGGGGUUGCCGGCGACCCGUGUGCCGCAGGCAGCUGUUGGGAACGUCGAGCCACGAGACAACCUGUUGGCGUCGGACCCACAUCAGCGUCCCCAACUCCCCAUUGGCGGCACAUCCAUCCCCGCCACCACGUGCUGCCCUCCACCUCCUGCCCGUCGGUCCAUCAAUUUGAUCUCCUCAACAUAGCCGAUGAGCGAGUGCUGAAGUGUCCACAACGGCACAACCUAGAACGCGCGGCGAGAUCCAGCGACACCGAUGUGGAGGGAGGCGUCACGAGAGAUUGAAGCAAGCCUUGGUGGGGCUUCCCUGUUGCUGCUGCGAGAAGCAGAAGGAGGCGGUGUUACGUAGAAACGAAAUUUGUUUGUUUGCUUGAGUGAAUAUAUAUGUCUAAUGUAUACAAAAAAAUCGGUUAUGUGUUAAAAAUUUGAAGUAUGUGGUUGUUGGUUUAGUUGA